rnacentral:rRNA from 1 species
UACGGAGGGUGCAAGCGUUAAUCGGAAUUACUGGGCGUAAAGCGCGCGUAGGCGGCUGGGUAAGUCGAUUGUGAAAUCCCCGGGCUCAACCUGGGAAUUGCAGUCGAGACUGCCCGGCUAGAGUGUGGGAGAGGGUGGUGGAAUUCCCGGUGUAGCGGUGAAAUGCGUAGAUAUCGUAAGGAAGACCAGUGGCGAAGGCGGGUCUCUGGACAGUUCCUGACGCUGAGGCACGAAGGUCAGGGAGCAAACGGG